CGCCGGUCUCUCUUCUUUUCAAAUAGGUAAGUGAAAACUUUUAAGAAAUUCCAGGAUGGUAUUUUUGGACUUCUAUUGACAGCGAAAAAUCAAUUUGAGAGCCUUUUUAUUUUGUUUUCAUUAACACAGCCUCUUAAUGCCUAUUUAACUGAUUUGAUCACUGUUCCCUCUGAGCAAACAGAGGUGUAAAUAAGCCGCCGGUUAAACAGAAGGAAAGGACUGUAUAGGAAAACAAUCAAAGUGGGAUUUUAUUUGUAGAAGAGAACAAACAAUAUUGAAAAACCUCAGACAAUUAUACAUAAUAUUAUGAAAAACUGAAGAACCUGACACCUCUGCCAAAUUGAUGGACAUUUCCUCUGCAGGGACUAAAAUUAGACUCAUUUACCAGUAGCUGUGACAGACGCGUUCAAAGUGUCUAAUUUUAUGUUUUCCAAUGUAUUUUUUUUUAAAUAUUUUAACUUUUUCAUGUUAUAACAUCACAUAAAACGAGCGUACAAUGACAAUUGAACAGUCCGGCACCAAGAACAUUUAAUACACAUCAUUUAAUACACAUGAACAGUGACACUCAACUUUUAUGUCUCACUCAAGGAAAAUGUAAUUAAUUAUUAUUCCUUAUUUGACAUUUUCCUUUCCAGAUGAAGCCUAAAUUCACAGGGUUCACAGCGUCUAUGACGUUCCUAUGAGGGAAACUCUAAAAUCGUCAGUAGUCCUUUUAAAGCUCCUGUGGAGGUUUUUUUUUACUUUCAUCAAAUAGACUGAGAUUGAUGUUGAUUCUAUUUUAUGAUAUAUGUCAGCAAAUAAGACCAUUAGAGACAAGAUUAGCAAACUAAUUUUUGUUAUUUUUACUGCCUGAAACCUGUGCGGGAGGGUAGGUGUCGGCCAACCAGCUGAAAAAAAAGUCUGUUUUUUCCAUUUGUCACACCCAAUAUUUCUGAUAAAUGGCACAUUUGACUGUCAAAAGUCAUAAUGAUGGGAUUUUUCCCUUCACAAUGGGUGCCAGAAUUAACACAAACACAAAGUUCCUCAUAGAAGCUUUAAGAUUUAAGUUUUUUUUUGUUUUCUGGGAGGUGCUAGCAUCACUUUAGAUAACAUUAGAUUUUCCAAACCUGUAAAAUAUCUCUAACAAACAGAAAAUCAUCUUUAGAAGCUAAUUUUUAUCAAAAAAUGGCCUAAAUUACAUAAUAUGAAGCCCAAAAAGGACAAACAACUACUCUGUUUAACAUUUAUCUUCCUGUGAUUAUCAGGUCAUCUUUAGUAGCCAGCGUCUGAUCCAGCAGAGGGCGCUCUUAUCGUAACCUGGCUAGUCCAUGCACUCUUGACCUCAGUUAGCAAAUGUAAUGAGGAUAUAAUCAAGCAAAGCAGCGCUAAACUGAAAACAAUGAUGCCAAAACAUCUGAGAAACGCUCAGUGGAAGAACUUUGGGAUCUACACAAGAGGCUGUACAGACAAAAUUGGCCUUUUCUACAGUUUCUAUCAAGUUUCCAUCCACCGAUAAAGAAACCCUUUCUUGCAUUAGAGACUAGAGGUGUCAUUCAUAUUUGCACAGGACUUUGGACACUAUAGUCACAAACUUAAUGAGACCUGGCCUCAAUAUUAGGAUGUUUUCAGGCCUGUUAUAUGGUAUCCUGUAGAAAUGUAUGGACUUCUGGGUUGAUUUUCUUCAGUGCACAGACAUGAGAGGAUAUGAGGAACUGAACCCCCAGAAAACAUCACAGGACAGUAUCAGAUAUGUAGCAUAAAUGAGUAUUGAGUCUCAUGUAUUAAUGGCAGAAACAUAUGGAUGCUGUUGUCUGAUAAUGUUACAGGUUUACUCUCAGGUGGUUUGUUCUCGUUCAAAAGCGGUUAACAACGAACAUCAGAUCUCCAAGAAUCGUGGGAGCGUGGGAUCGUCCACUUUACAUUUCCAGUGCAGAACUAUUUUUACAAGACAACCACGUCUCUUAAAACGUAUUUAUAGAGUAUGUUAUGUAAUUACAUCUGUAUGGAUAUGAGGUUGCUGUAGAAGAGUCGUGUUUAACGGACAUGUUAAAGAAGGAUGUCUUAAUUCUAGUAAGGGAGUGAAUUUUCGCCCUUUAUUUGGCGAUUAUCAAACUAGUGGGCUUUAAACACUCUGAGUAAAUCUGGGAUCAAUCUGUCCUCUUGGAUUUUUUUACCCUCCUAAUGAUCAGAUUGGCAAACAUAUGUCUCUUUACUUUUUCGCUUCACCAUGUCAGCACUUAUGAAUGCACUUAACUCAUUAAAUCAAACAAAAGCCUCUGCUUCAAUCUCAUCAAACUCAUUUACAAAUUAAAACAAGAACAUUUCACAUCAGAUAAGGAAAAUUCAGCACUACUCUUGUCUUUUUUUUCUUUUUUUUUUUUGUACAAUCCACAUUCCUCCCCCGCACAUUUCUUAUCUGCUCUUUUAUCUUUCUGCACCACAAAAUCUAUGCACACUGAAAGUGUCAGCGAAAAAAAUAGCUGGUCUCAUAAUAUCAUUCCACAAGCCGAGGUUGAUUAUGAUAGUGAAAUUGGCAGCAGGGCGUGGAAUAUCCCUGUGGUGAUUUUCCAACUCCAACUCAUUUCACAGACCGCCUCGAGGUCCUGAUCUCUGGGAACCCGGGUCGACGAGGCUCUGGCCCUGCCUGUGCUGCUGCAGCUGCUGAUGUCUUCAUCGCCGUUUCACAGACUUUUUACGUGUUGCUCUCGACGCUGCAGCACCGAAGGGACCUGUGCUGCGACGGGGAAGUGAUGCAACCACAAAUUCAUGUAAGAGCGGCUUGAAAACACACUGACACUGUGGUUUGCUGACCUCAGAGGAAGGAAAGAGACAAAGAGAAAGAGAGAGCGAUAUACACGCAGGGGAAAAAAAAAAAAACAGAGACGGUGAGCAGAGAGAGAGAGUGACAGUUUUUCAGGUGGUCAAAAGGUCUAAAUGUCAGGUGGUGACAGUUUACAACAAGAAUG